GCUGCGGGUUCAAAUCUGAGCUGCAGCCCUUUUCUGCAAGUCAUUCCCGCUCUCUCUCCCCUUUUAUGUCUUCACUUGUCCUAAAAAAUGCUCUAAAA